CCUCUCUCUCCGCUAACGCGUUUGGCUGGCCGAGUGCUGUGUGUGGUGGAGUUUCCGUAGUAAUUGUGCAACGACGUGGACAUCGGAAAAGGACGUAGUUGAAGCUCUGGCACUCACACCAUCGUCUUUUUCCCGGCCAAGCAGUGCUGGGACGAGAGAGCGAUGUUUGUUUUGUUUGAUUUCUCGCGGAAGCCUCAAGUUGAACUUGCUUGUCGCAUUUGACUGUGAUGCCGACAGUGCGUUCAGUUAGAAGCAGGAGUUGAUAGAGGUAUGUCACGAGACACCGUAGCUUUGUUCGGUGAGCAAGGCAAUGCCUUCAGAAGCUACGUGAUCGUGCCGAACGGCUUCAUUUUUUCGGACAUCGAGCAAGUAAAUGCGUGCACACAGCGAGCGCAACGUCGCUGGCAAUUGCCUGAAGACAGCUCAAAGAAAUGAAAACGUGGCAGGUCUUCGAUGAACUUCUUUGAUGCCUAUCGAUCACUGGGCGCCGGCGCGCCACGCCUCUCGUCUCGGAGACCACGCGCGGACUUCUCGGCAGUGCCACUAGAGGGAGCAGCGUGUCCAGAAGGAAGCGCGAGAAAGGAGCCCGCGGUUGCGGCAUGACGUGUUUCUCAGCGUUCGCAUGCACCGCCGCGCCAUGAAUUUCGGAGGCUUCGCAGCGGCAGCGCUUGAUGGCGCCGAGUGUGCUUAGGGGAGCGUGAAAGCGCAGUCCCGCUGCAGUACACGCCACAUGCAUAACUCGUUUCGACUGUGGCAAUACGUUUUGCUAAUGUAUUGAUUCAAGGCAAAAUUGCUGCGCGACUGGCAGCUCAAGGCACUUUGCGUGUAUUCGCGGGCUUCUUUCACGCCCGGAAAAAACACUUCUAUGUAACGCGUAUUGAGCAACAGAAAGCUGUAUAAGGACUUUUUCAUGUUGCUCUACAAUUUUCACACAGUGUGUCCCAACCAUCAUGCACCAACAUUUAAAAAUAUGCAAAUGCAACAUAGCUGGACAGAACCAAGUUAAUGUUGUUUGCCGUCGCUUGGAGAUAUUCAGAUUGUUGUGUUUUUUUUUGCAUUCAGCCUAAUUACAUAACUAGUCUUAAUUAAUUAACUUCUCAAAUAUUAUAAUUAGAUGAAAAGUGUGGAUGAUAAAAUUGCAGGGCAACAUGAAAAACUCCCGAUUCAGCUUUCUGUUGCUCAAUACGUGCUACAUAAAAGCGUUUUCCUGAGCGUGAAAGAAGCCAACGAAUACAUGCAAAAAUGCCGCCCAAUUGGCCGUUCGAAGCAUUUUACAAACAAUAAAUUUAUCGAUGAUCAAAGGAUGGUAGCAUGAGGUCGCUAUGUGGCAUAAACCAAAUCUAUCGCGAUGAAGGGAGCUUCUGCUGCGCAGCUAAAAACGUCCAUUCUCUUGAAGAAACGCCCGCAUACAGCAUAAACUUCUAAUCUAAGUGCUCAGCGCCUACUUCGGAAAUUCAAUAGGAAGAACUACGUUGCAGUGCGGUGAAACCUACAUGUCCAGCACUUGAAUUACCUUCCAGAACAAGACGUGCAUUGCAGUGAAGGUAUACUGCGGAUAAAAUACAGCAGGUGGAGCGCAGGGACCCAACUUUAAAAGUAUUUUUCUUGCGUAAAUAAAAACUCUCAUUAUUCUUCCACAAACAAGCUA